CGGACGGGUGAGUAACGCGUGAGAAUCUGCCCUCAGGAGGGGGAUAACGGCUGGAAACGGCCGCUAAUACCCCAUAUGCCGAGAGGUGAAAUGAAUUUCGCCUGAGGAUGAGCUCGCGUCUGAUUAGCUAGUUGGUGGGGUAAAGGCCUACCAAGGCUUCGAUCAGUAGCUGGUCUGAUAGGAUGGUCAGCCACACUGGGACUGAGACACGGCCCAGACUCCUACGGGAGGCAGCAGUGGGGAAUUUUCCGCAAUGGGCGAAAGCCUGACGGAGCAACGCCGCGUGAGGGAUGAAGGCCUCUGGGCUGGAAACCUCUUUUAUCAAGGAAGAAGAUCUGACGGUACUUGAUGAAUAAGCCACGGCUAAUUCCGUGCCACCAGCCGCGGUAAUACGGGAGUGGCAAGCGUUAUCCGGAAUUAUUGGGCGUAAAGCGUCCUCAGGCGGUCUUGUAAGUCUGUCGUUAAAGCGUGCAGCUUAGCUCCAUUUGAGCGAUGGAAACUGCAAGACUACAGUGUGGUAGGGACAGAUGGAAUUCCCGGUGUAGCGGUGAAAUGCGUAGAUAUCGGGUAGAACACCAGUGUAGAAGGCACUACUGCUGGUCCAUAACUGACGCUCAUGGACUAAAGCCUGGGGAGCGAAAGGGAUUAGAUACCCCUGUAGUC
rnacentral:rRNA from 1 species